AAAAACCUCGUCAAGUCACAAAAACCCUAUGGGAGAAAAACUGAACCUUGAUAGUAGGAGAAAAAGAGUACAACGCACUCUUCACAUUUGAUAGUGACAUGUAUGUAUGUGCUAGACUCCCCCUGAAGUUCGCACCCCCCUUGAUCUUUACAUCAAUCAUAGGGCUCUUCCUGAUUCUUACUAAUCACGGAAGUUUCAACAACUUAGCAUGUCAAUGCUUUUUAACAUGUCUUCAAAUGUGGCAUUGGGCAAUGAUUAACUAAAUCAUGCCGUAUUGUCCUCAAAUGAUAUUUUACACUUAGAUCUUGAGGAGAAGGUCGCUUGUGAACUCAAAACAUAAGUUCGUGCAGGAAAUCAGAUUUCCGCGCAGCAUGACCUUCAAUUACUAGAACAGUCGUAACUUCCUCUAGGAAAUACAUAUGAACAAACCGUAAAUGGUUUUGGAAACUAGACUCAUUUAGCUUUCCAACCGUAUAUUACACACAUUCUGGUUCAUCAGGAGCUGUUCACAAAGUCCUGUCGAAGUUGACUAUUUUGCCAAAAUCAGAUUCUCGGACAGAUUCGUCCUACUUUACAAAAACAGCCAUAACUCACUCAAGAUGAUAGGUAUGAUCAAAUGGUUGGUGUCUCUGAAAAGUAGACACAUAGACCUUUCCAAUGGUACCAAUUUCACCAUUUUCCAGUGAGUGAGAUUUCCUAUAGGUCCCGUGGAAGUUGACCUACAAAACUUGGCAGAUUCUGAUUUCGUUUUUGAUGUGUCUUUCUUAUGUAGGGAUAGAAUAAGCCUCAACCUUUCAUACCAUUAAGUAUUGAAAAAGGAGUUACUGCCAUUACAUUGGCGUUACGUGGGCGCAUAGCUACACUUAGCUUUACAACUUUUUAUAACGAAUGAGAUGUCAAGUCUUUCGUAUUGUGUUGAGGACAUUGAUGCGUUUUAUUGUACUUAGAUGGGAACUCCAUCUCUUAACACAUAUUUGUCAUCUUGCUUUAGACAAAACAACGGAUCUCUCUUUAGAGCAAAGACCUUGACUAAUCAUGGGAGUAUAUGUAGGCCUCACUAGUUAUAGAGCGCCUAAGCCGAUUGAUGGAAAAUCAUCAUCAAUACAGUCAUCGAGUGCCUUAUCGAGACUAUGUCUUCCCAAGAUCUUUUUCUUCGGAUGUUGAUACAUAUUGGCAUCUCUUGAUCCAUCAAGAGUCCAUGUAAAUCCGGAAUGAACACGCAAAGGCAUAAUUCAUCAUAUCCUUUCCAAAUC
rnacentral:lncRNA from 1 species